GAUGAAGAACGCAGUGAAAUGCGAUAAUUAAUGUGAAUUGCAGAAUUCAGUGAAUCAUCGAGUCUUUGAACGCACAUUGCGCCCCCUGGUAUUCCGGGGGGCACGCCUGUCCGAGCGUCAUUGCUGCCCUCAAGCACGGCUUGUGUGUUGGGCUUCCGUCCCUGGCAACGGGGACGGGCCCAAAAGGCAGUGGCGGCACCAUGUCUGGUCCUCGAGCGUAUGGGGCUUUGUCACCCGCUCCCGUAGGUCCAGCUGGCAGCUAGCCUCGCAACCAAUCUUUUUAACCAGGUUGACCUCGGAUCAGGUAGGGAUACCCGCUGAACUUAAGCAUAUCAAUAAGCGGAGGA
rnacentral:misc_RNA from 1 species